rnacentral:lncRNA from 1 species
CUGGAUUCCAGAAUCCGUCCUUCUAUUACCAAAGCUGGACACCACUCUAGCGUCUUCCACCAGCUGCUGCCACCAGGAUACAUAGCCUUUCUCUUCCAAGACAUCUCUCUUCUCUUUUCAAAAGGGGAAAUAAAAAGAAACAUUAAGAAGCAACAGGAGAGGGAACCAGAGUCCCUGUCCUGCCCUUGCAGAGCAAUGUCAAGGGCUCCCCCUGGAGCGGAGCGGAGCGUGAACAGCCAGCUGUCAGGCUGUCCUUCAUCCUUACUCCUGUCAUCUGAAAAUGGAGUUCUGUGCUUCAAGGAAGGGAUGAAGUUGUAGAAGCCAGCCUGGUCCUCUGCUUCCUUCUGACACCCACUCCCAACCAUUGCCAGUCUAUGCUGAUGCCAUAGCUAAGCAACCUGCUGUUAUUGCUUUUUUUGGUAAAUUUCCUCCAACAAUAACAUCUUGUGGCUUCUCAAAGAGCUGCUAAAGAAUGAUGGACUUCAUUUCGUGAGGCAUCUCUAUGAGUAAUAAAUGGAGCUAUUUUCUUUUCCUUGGGAAGCUAAAUUAUGCUGGUCUGUUCUCGGUAAUAAACAGUGCUAUGAGUCUUAUUACAUAGGAAGUAUAUAAAACCUACUUCAGAUGGUGGAUUUUGUGUAAAUGCUUAUCAGGCUGCUUGAAUUCUGUAUUGCAUUUUAGAGUCCAAACAAUGUCCAUACAAAAAUAGAAAAUGAUUUCACAGUUCUCUAGGGUCAAGGCAAGAAUGUCCAAGUCAGAGAGGGAAAAAGUUUGAAUUUAAAUAUAGAAUGUACUGAAAAUUUUUAUCUUCAUUUCAAGCUUAAUGUAAGUUGUUAAAAUAUAAUUUUGCUGGGUAAAUAUGCGUGAUAUAAUUUGUUAUGUAAAAGAUAACUAACUUGAAAGAUUUGAACAAAAUAAAAUCAUAAAAUAGAGAAUAUAGGUUAGGACUUUGAAAAGUAUAAUUAGCUUUCAAUAUAAAUAAAAUAUGUGGUUUCCUUUAGAGUGUAAAAACUCAAUGUAAUUUGCAAAUUAUUCCUGUAAUCAGUUCAGGUCAGUUGCUCAGUCGUGUCCGACUCUUUGCGACCCCAUGAAUCGCAGCACUCCAGGCCUCCCUGUCCAUCACCAACUCCCGGAGUUCACUCAGACUCAUGUCCAUUGAGCCGGUGAUGCCAUCCAGCCAUCUCAUCCUCUGUCGUCCCUUUCUCCUCCUGCCCCC